rnacentral:lncRNA from 1 species
AUAUCUGGCCUGGAGUUGGGACCAUAUGCUCUGUGCAGUGUCAGAGUACUGUACAGACUCAGAAAUUGUAGGGGAGAUGGAAGCAGUCAACCAAGAAAUCACCAUGUUGUUGCACCUAUCCCAAAACCUUUGUUGAGCCACAUUAAUGGCAGGUCGUGAGUAUGUGCCAUCAACAAAACCGAUUUUGUUUUUGGCUGAUAGGGCGACAAUCAUUUUACGUCUCCAGCCCCCAUAACCACUACCCGAGAAGGGAGUGGGGACGAGACAU